AGAGUUUGAUCCUGGCUCAGGACGAACGCUGGCGGCGUGCCUAAUACAUGCAAGUCGAGCGAGCUUGCCUAGAUGAUUUUAGUGCUUGCACUAAAUGAAACUAGAUACAAGCGAGCGGCGGACGGGUGAGUAACACGUGGGUAACCUGCCCAAGAGACUGGGAUAACACCUGGAAACAGAUGCUAAUACCGGAUAACAACACUAGACGCAUGUCUAGAGUUUGAAAGAUGGUUCUGCUAUCACUCUUGGUUGGACCUGCGGUGCAUUAGCUAGUUGGUAAGGUAACGGCUUACCAAGGCAAUGAUGCAUAGCCGAGUUGAGAGACUGAUCGGCCACAUUGGGACUGAGACACGGCCCAAACUCCUACGGGAGGCAGCAGUAGGGAAUCUUCCACAAUGGACGAAAGUCUGAUGGAGCAACGCCGCGUGAGUGAAGAAGGGUUUCGGCUCGUAAAGCUCUGUUGGUAGUGAAGAAAGAUAGAGGUAGUAACUGGCCUUUAUUUGACGGUAAUUACUUAGAAAGUCACGGCUAACUACGUGCCAGCAGCCGCGGU
rnacentral:rRNA from 1 species